rnacentral:rRNA from 1 species
UACGAAGGGGGCUAGCGUUGUUCGGAAUUACUGGGCGUAAAGCGCACGUAGGCGGAUUGUUAAGUUAGGGGUGAAAUCCCAGGGCUCAACCCUGGAACUGCCUUUAAUACUGGCAAUCUAGAGUCCGAGAGAGGUGAGUGGAAUUCCGAGUGUAGAGGUGAAAUUCGUAGAUAUUCGGAGGAACACCAGUGGCGAAGGCGGCUCACUGGCUCGGUACUGACGCUGAGGUGCGAAAGCUAGGGGAGCAAACGGG